UGUUGGCGCUGGCUUGCCUGCGAUACAGACACCUCGGUCUUUCUGUCACACCGAGGUGAUGCCAUCGCAGGCAAGCCAGCUCCCACA
rnacentral:misc_RNA from 1 species